GGAGGGGUAGCCAAGUGGCCAUACGGCGCCGCUCUCGAAAAGCGUGCUGGGCUUCGCCCAACGCGGGUUCGAAUCCCGCCCCCUCCGCCA
rnacentral:tRNA from 1 species